rnacentral:rRNA from 1 species
CAGAGGGUGCGAACGUUGCUCGGAAUUACUGGGCGUAAAGCGCGUGUAGGCGGGUCGGCAAGUCAGGCGUGAAAUCCCCAGGCUCAACCUGGGAACUGCGCUUGAAACUGCCGGUCUUGAGUAUCGGAGAGGGUGGCGGAAUUCCUGGUGUAGAGGUGAAAUUCGUAGAUAUCAGGAGGAACACCGGUGGCGAAGGCGGCCACCUGGACGAUUACUGACGCUGAGACGCGAAAGCGUGGGGAGCAAACAGGAUUAGAUACCCUGGUAGUCCACGCCGUAAACGAUGGGUGCUAGGUGUCUCGGGUAUUGACCCCUGAGGCGCCGUAGCUAACGCGUUAAGCACCCCGCCUGGGAAGUACGGCCGCAAGGCUA